AAUCUGCUCUGACCUAACAAAUAAACAAAAAAUGCAAACUAAGCUUAACAUACUAGUUGGAUAGGAUUUGAAUUAGCAGUUUCUCACCCUGACUGAUGAUACAACAGUCCAUCAAGUUUCCAUACACAGUCUAGAAAACCCUUUAGUCUGGGACCAGCACUUGCUC